rnacentral:rRNA from 1 species
AGUCAAUAGAUAUCCGGGUAGUCCACGCCGUAAACGAUGGGUACUAGGUGCCUGGGGGAGCGACCCCUUGGGUGCCGGCGCUAAACGCAGGAAGUACCCCGCCUGGGGAGUACGGCCGCAAGGCUGAAACUCAAAGGAAUUGACGGGGGCCCGCACAAGCGGUGGAGCAUGUGGUUUAAUUCGACGCAACGCGAAGAACCUUACCUAGGCUUGACAUGCAUGGGAAACUCCUCAGAAACGAGGAGCCUCCUUCGGGAUCCAUGCACAGGUGCUGCAUGGCUGUCGUCAGCUCGUGUCGUGAGAUGUUGGGUUAAAGUCCCGCAACGAGCGCAACCCCUGUUCUUAGUUACCAGCGGAUAAUGCCGGGGACUCUAGGAAGACUGCCGGUGCCAAACCGGAGGAAGGUGGGACGACGUCAAGUCAUCAUGGUCCUUACGUCUAGGGCUACACACGUGCUACAAUGGGCCGGACAGUGGGGGCCGAGGCAGCAAUGCCAAGGCAAUCCCAAAACCGGUCCUCAGUUCGGAUUGUCGUCUGCAACUCGACGGG